UACGUAGGUGGCAAGCGUUGUCCGGAUUUACUGGGCGUAAAGAGCGCGCAGGCGGUCGUUCAAGUCGCGUGUGAAAGCCCCCGGCUCAACUGGGGAGGGUCACGCGAUACUGAUCGACUCGAAGGCAGGAGAGGGAAGUGGAAUUCCCGGUGUAGUGGUGAAAUGCGUAGAUAUCGGGAGGAACACCAGUGGCGAAGGCGGGUCUCUGGGCCGUAACUGACGCUGAGGAGCGAAAGCGUGGGGAGCGAACAGG
rnacentral:rRNA from 1 species